rnacentral:rRNA from 1 species
AGGACGAACGCUGGCGGCGUGCUUAACACAUGCAAGUCGAGCGGAAAGGCCCUUCGGGGUACUCGAGCGGCGAACGGGUGAGUAACACGUGAGUAACCUGCCCCUAGCUCUGGGAUAGCUCCGGGAAACCGGGAUUAAUACCAGAUACGACCACUUUAGACAUCUGUCGUGGUGGAAAGGAUUCCGGCUAGGGAUGGGCUCGCGGCCUAUCAGCUUGUUGGUGGGGUAACGGCCUACCAAGGCGACGACGGGUAGCCGG